ensembl:snRNA U6 U6 spliceosomal RNA
GUGCUUGCUUCAGCAGCAUAUAUACUAAAAUUGGAAAGAUGCAGUGAACAUUAGAGUGGCCCCUGCACAAGGAUGACAUGUAAAAUAGCAAAAGCUUUCAUCAUUUG